rnacentral:rRNA from 1 species
CGGAUUGUAGUCUGCAACCCGACUACAUGAAGCUGGAAUCGCUAGUAAUCGCAGGUCAGCAUACUGCGGUGAAUACGUUCCCGGGUCUUGUACACACCGCCCGUCACACCAUGGGAGCCGGAAAUGCCCGAAGCCAGUGACCCAACCUUAGGGAGGGAGCUGUCGAAGGUGGAGCCGGUAACUGGGGUGAAGUCGUAACAAGGUACC